UACGUAGGGGGCAAGCGUUGUCCGGAUUUAUUGGGCGUAAAGAGCGUGUAGGCGGCUAGGUAGGUCCGUUGUGAAAACUCGAGGCUCAACCUCGAGACGCCGGUGGAAACCAUCUAGCUAGAGUCCGGAAGAGGAGAGUGGAAUUCCUGGUGUAGCGGUGAAAUGCGUAGAUAUCUGGAGGAAUACCGGUGGCGAAGGCGGCAUCCUGGACCGGCAUUGACGCUGAGGAGCGAAAGCCAGGGGAGCAAACGGG
rnacentral:rRNA from 1 species